UUUAAACUUUAAAAAUGAACUUGUGUAAAAUGAUUGAGCUUGAUACUGGUCAUUCUUUUUUAUGUGCUUAUUUCUUCAUGCAACAGAAUAAUCAUGCUAUGUUUCUUAUGUAUACUUCAGUUUUUCUUUCUCAUAGGAAAUGUAUAUUUAGUUACAAGGAAACUUGUUGGCUUGUAAACUGUCAUAAAAAAGAGAAAUAAUUUGCCUCAUUCAAUCUCCUGUAAUAGUUGUAUUAUACGCAAUAUAAAUCAGUUCUUAAGUGGCUGGUUACAAUUUCAUGGAAUAUAUUUUGCAUUCCUUUGGAUGAUGUUUCUACUUUUCUUAAUGGAGUGUUCACUAAAUGUAUUAUCUUCUAAUGGAUUCUUUAUUUAUGUAUUCUGUUGUGGUAUUGUUGAACUCCUAUU
rnacentral:misc_RNA from 1 species